rnacentral:lncRNA from 1 species
UUAGCAUGUAGAAUAAGACAAGACAAUAAUAUUAAAGGAUUUGAAAUCAAAAUAGAUGGGAAAACACAUUCUUUAAAAAUCAGUCAACUCGCAGACGACACAACACUUUUUUUUAAAAACAAAACAAGACAUUUCAAAAGUAUUAAACAUGAUUGAAAUUUUUGGCACUUUAUCAGGGCUUAAAUUAAACAGAUCAAAAACAGAAGGCAUUUGGUUAGGAAAACACAAACAUUGCAAAGAAAAAUAUGAAAACAUCAACUUUACAAACAAAC